GGGUUGUGAGGUUAAGCGACUAAGCGUACACGGUGGAUGCCCUGGCAGUCAGAGGCGAUGAAGGGCGUGCUAAUCUGCGAUAAGCGCCGGUAAGGUGAUAUGAACCGUUAUAACCGGCGAUACCCGAAUGGGGAAACCCAGUGUGACUCGUCACACUAUCAUUAACUGAAUCCAUAGGUUAAUGAGGCGAACCGGGGGAACUGAAACAUCUAAGUACCCCGAGGAAAAGAAAUCAACCGAGAUUCCCCCAGUAGCGGCGAGCGAACGGGGAGGAGCCCAGAGCCUGAAUCAGCAUGUGUGUUAGUGGAAGCGUCUGGAAAGGCGCGCGAUACAGGGUGACAGCCCCGUACACAAAAGCGCAUGUGUUGUGAGCUCGAUGAGUAGGGCGGGACACGUGGUAUCCUGUCUGAAUAUGGGGGGACCAUCCUCCAAGGCUAAAUACUCCUGACUGACCGAUAGUGAACCAGUACCGUGAGGGAAAGGCGAAAAGAACCCCGGCGAGGGGAGUGAAAAAGAACCUGAAACCGUGUACGUACAAGCAGUGGGAGCACAGGUUUACCUGUGUGACUGCGUACCUUUUGUAUAAUGGGUCAGCGACUUAUAUUCUGUAGCAAGGUUAACCGAAUAGGGGAGCCGGAGGGAAACCGAGUCUUAACCGGGCGUUAAGUUGCAGGGUAUAGACCCGAAACCCGGUGAUCUAGCCAUGGGCAGGUUGAAGGUUGGGUAACACUAACUGGAGGACCGAACCGACUAAUGUUGAAAAAUUAGCGGAUGACCUGUGGCUGGGGGUGAAAGGCCAAUCAAACCGGGAGAUAGCUGGUUCUCCCCGAAAGCUAUUUAGGUAGCGCCUCGUGAAUUCAUCUCCGGGGGUAGAGCACUGUUUCGGCUAGGGGGCCAUCCCGGCUUACCAACCCGAUGCAAACUGCGAAUACCGGAGAAUGUUAUCACGGGAGACACACGGCGGGUGCUAACGUCCGUCGUGAAGAGGGAAACAACCCAGACCGCCAGCUAAGGUCCCAAAGUCAUGGUUAAGUGGGAAACGAUGUGGGAAGGCCCAGACAGCCAGGAUGUUGGCUUAGAAGCAGCCAUCAUUUAAAGAAAGCGUAAUAGCUCACUGGUCGAGUCGGCCUGCGCGGAAGAUGUAACGGGGCUAAACCAUGCACCGAAGCUGCGGCAGCGACGCUGAUGCGUUGUUGGGUAGGGGAGCGUUCUGUAAGCCUGCGAAGGUGGCCUGUGAGGGUUGCUGGAGGUAUCAGAAGUGCGAAUGCUGACAUAAGUAACGAUAAAGCGGGUGAAAAGCCCGCUCGCCGGAAGACCAAGGGUUCCUGUCCAACGUUAAUCGGGGCAGGGUGAGUCGACCCCUAAGGCGAGGCCGAAAGGCGUAGUCGAUGGGAAACGGGUUAAUAUUCCCGUACUUGGUGUUACUGCGAAGGGGGGACGGAGAAGGCUAUGUUGGCCGGGCGACGGUUGUCCCGGUUUAAGCGUGUAGGUGUGUGUUCCAGGUAAAUCCGGUUCACUUUAACACUGAGGCGUGAUGACGAGGCACUACGGUGCUGAAGCAACAAAUGCCCUGCUUCCAGGAAAAGCCUCUAAGCAUCAGGUAACAUCAAAUCGUACCCCAAACCGACACAGGUGGUCAGGUAGAGAAUACCAAGGCGCUUGAGAGAACUCGGGUGAAGGAACUAGGCAAAAUGGUGCCGUAACUUCGGGAGAAGGCACGCUGACACGUAGGUGAAGUGAUUUACUCAUGGAGCUGAAGUCAGUCGAAGAUACCAGCUGGCUGCAACUGUUUAUUAAAAACACAGCACUGUGCAAACACGAAAGUGGACGUAUACGGUGUGACGCCUGCCCGGUGCCGGAAGGUUAAUUGAUGGGGUCAGCGCAAGCGAAGCUCCUGAUCGAAGCCCCGGUAAACGGCGGCCGUAACUAUAACGGUCCUAAGGUAGCGAAAUUCCUUGUCGGGUAAGUUCCGACCUGCACGAAUGGCGUAAUGAUGGCCAGGCUGUCUCCACCCGAGACUCAGUGAAAUUGAACUCGCUGUGAAGAUGCAGUGUACCCGCGGCAAGACGGAAAGACCCCGUGAACCUUUACUAUAGCUUGACACUGAACAUUGAGCCUUGAUGUGUAGGAUAGGUGGGAGGCUUUGAAGUGUGGACGCCAGUCUGCAUGGAGCCGACCUUGAAAUACCACCCUUUAAUGUUUGAUGUUCUAACGUGGACCCGUAAUCCGGGUUGCGGACAGUGUCUGGUGGGUAGUUUGACUGGGGCGGUCUCCUCCUAAAGAGUAACGGAGGAGCACGAAGGUUGGCUAAUCCUGGUCGGACAUCAGGAGGUUAGUGCAAUGGCAUAAGCCAGCUUGACUGCGAGCGUGACGGCGCGAGCAGGUGCGAAAGCAGGUCAUAGUGAUCCGGUGGUUCUGAAUGGAAGGGCCAUCGCUCAACGGAUAAAAGGUACUCCGGGGAUAACAGGCUGAUACCGCCCAAGAGUUCAUAUCGACGGCGGUGUUUGGCACCUCGAUGUCGGCUCAUCACAUCCUGGGGCUGAAGUAGGUCCCAAGGGUAUGGCUGUUCGCCAUUUAAAGUGGUACGCGAGCUGGGUUUAGAACGUCGUGAGACAGUUCGGUCCCUAUCUGCCGUGGGCGCUGGAGAACUGAGGGGGGCUGCUCCUAGUACGAGAGGACCGGAGUGGACGCAUCACUGGUGUUCGGGUUGUCAUGCCAAUGGCACUGCCCGGUAGCUAAAUGCGGAAGAGAUAAGUGCUGAAAGCAUCUAAGCACGAAACUUGCCCCGAGAUGAGUUCUCCCUGAGACUUAGAGUCUCCUGAAGGAACGUUGAAGACGACGACGUUGAUAGGCCGGGUGUGUAAGCGCAGCGAUGCGUUGAGCUAACCGGUACUAAUGAACCGUGAGGCUUAACCUUACAACGCCGAAG
rnacentral:rRNA from 1 species